rnacentral:rRNA from 1 species
AACGAACGCUGGCGGCAGGCCUAACACAUGCAAGUCGAGCGCAGUAGCAAUACUGAGCGGCAGACGGGUGAGUAACACGUGGGAACCUUCCUAUUAGUAAAGAAUAGCCCAGGGAAACUUGGAUUAAUACUUUAUACGCCCUACGGGGGAAAGAUUUAUCGCUAAUAGAUGGGCCCGCGUUAGAUUAGGUAGUUGGUGAGGUAAUGGCUCACCAAGCCUACGAUCUAUAGCUGGUCUGAGAGGACGAUCAGCCACACUGGAACUGAGACACGGUCCAGACUCCUACGGGAGGCAGCAGUGGGGAAUAUUGCACAAUGGGCGCAAGCCUGAUGCAGCGACUCCGCGUGAGGGAUGACGGCCUUCGGGUUGUAAACCUCUUUCAGCACCGACGAAGCGCAAGUGACGGUAGGUGCAGAAGAAGGACCGGCCAACUACGUGCCAGCCGCCGCGUAA